rnacentral:rRNA from 1 species
CAAUAGCGUAUAUUAAAGUUGUUGCGGUUAAAAAGCUCGUAGUUGGAUUUCUGCUGAGGACGACCGGUCCGCCCUCUGGGUGAGUAUCUGGCUUGGCCUUGGCAUCUUCUUGGAGAACGUAGCUGCACUUGACUGUGUGGUGCGGUAUCCAGGACUUUUACUUUGAGGAAAUUAGAGUGUUUCAAGCAGGCACACGCCUUGAAUACAUUAGCAUGGAAUAAUAAGAUAGGACCCUGGUCCUAUUUUGUUGGUUUUGUAGGACUAGAGUAAUGAUUAAUAGGGAUAGUUGGGGGCGAUUCGUAUUUAACUUGUCAGAGGUGAAAUU